AGAGUUUGAUCCUGGCUCAGGAUGAACGCUAGCUACAGGCUUAACACAUGCAAGUCGAGGGGCAUCGGGAAGAAAGCUUGCUUUCUUUGCCGGCGACCGGCGCACGGGUGAGUAACACGUAUCCAACCUGCCCUUUACUCGGGGAUAGCCUUUCGAAAGAAAGAUUAAUACCCGAUGGCAUAAUGAUUCCGCAUGGUUUCAUUAUUAAAGGAUUCCGGUAAAGGAUGGGGAUGCGUUCCAUUAGGUUGUUGGUGAGGUAACGGCCCACCAAGCCUUCGAUGGAUAGGGGUUCUGAGAGGAAGGUCCCCCACAUUGGAACUGAGACACGGUCCAAACUCCUACGGGAGGCAGCAGUGAGGAAUAUUGGUCAAUGGGCGCUAGCCUGAACCAGCCAAGUAGCGUGAAGGAUGAAGGCUCUAUGGGUCGUAAACUUCUUUUAUAUAAGAAUAAAGUGCAGUAUGUAUACUGUUUUGUAUGUAUUAUAUGAAUAAGGAUCGGCUAACUCCGUGCCAGCAGCCGCGGUAAUACGGAGGAUCCGAGCGUUAUCCGGAUUUAUUGGGUUUAAAGGGAGCGUAGGUGGACUGGUAAGUCAGUUGUGAAAGUUUGCGGCUCAACCGUAAAAUUGCAGUUGAUACUGUCAGUCUUGAGUACAGUAGAGGUGGGCGGAAUUCGUGGUGUAGCGGUGAAAUGCUUAGAUAUCACGAAGAACUCCGAUUGCGAAGGCAGCUCACUGGACUGCAACUGACACUGAUGCUCGAAAGUGUGGGUAUCAAACAGGAUUAGAUACCCUGGUAGUCCACACAGUAAACGAUGAAUACUCGCUGUUUGCGAUAUACAGUAAGCGGCCAAGCGAAAGCAUUAAGUAUUCCACCUGGGGAGUACGCCGGCAACGGUGAAACUCAAAGGAAU
rnacentral:rRNA from 1 species